rnacentral:rRNA from 1 species
UACGUAGGUGGCGAGCGUUGUCCGGAUUUAUUGGGCGUAAAGAGCGUGUAGGCGGCCAUGUAGGUCCGGUGUGAAAACUCGAGGCUUAACCUCGAGAUGUCAUCGGAAACCAUUUGGCUAGAGUCCGGAAGAGGAGAGUGGAAUUCCUGGUGUAGCGGUGAAAUGCGCAGAUAUCAGGAAGAACACCAAUGGCGAAAGCAGCUCUCUGGGACGGUACUGACGCUGAGACGCGAAAGCGUGGGGAGCGAACAGG